rnacentral:rRNA from 1 species
AGAGUUUGAUCCUGGCUCAGGAUGAACGCUGACAGAAUGCUUAACACAUGCAAGUCAACUUGAACUUCGGUUUGGGUGGCGGACGGGUGAGUAACGCGUAAAGAACUUGCCUCACAGAUAGGGACAACAUUUGGAAACGAAUGCUAAUACCUGAUAUUAUGAUUUUAGGGCAUCCUAAGAUUAUGAAAGCUAUAUGCGCUGUGAGAGAGCUUUGCGUCCCAUUAGCUAGUUGGAGAGGUAACGGCUCACCAAGGCGAUGAUGGGUAGCCGGCCUGAGAGGGUGAUCGGCCACAAGGGGACUGAGACACGGCCCUUACUCCUACGGGAGGCAGCAGUGGGGAAUAUUGGACAAUGGACCAAGAGUCUGAUCCAGCAAUUCUGUGUGCACGAUGAAGUUUUUCGGAAUGUAAAGUGCUUUCAGUUGGGAAGAAAAAAAUGACGGUACCAACAGAAGAAGUGACGGCUAAAUACGUGCCAGCAGCCGCGGUAAUACGUAUGUCACAAGCGUUAUCCGGAUUUAUUGGGCGUAAAGCGCGUCUAGGUGGUUAUGUAAGUCUGAUGUGAAAAUGCAGGGCUCAACUCUGUAUUGCGUUGGAAACUGUGUAACUAGAGUACUGGAGAGGUAAGCGGAACUACAAGUGUAGAGGUGAAAUUCGUAGAUAUUUGUAGGAAUGCCGAUGGGGAAGCCAGCUUACUGGACAGAUACUGACGCUGAAGCGCGAAAGCGUGGGUAGCAAACAGGAUUAGAUACCCUGGUAGUCCACGCCGUAAACGAUGAUUACUAGGUGUUGGGGGUCGAACCUCAGCGCCCAAGCAAACGCGAUAAGUAAUCCGCCUGGGGAGUACGUACGCAAGUAUGAAACUCAAAGGAAUUGACGGGGACCCGCACAAGCGGUGGAGCAUGUGGUUUAA